UCACCUCCAGAGAAAUCUGUGGCAGUUGGACACACCAUGCCCCCCCUGCCCCCCCGCCAGGACAGUGUCCCUUUUGCCCACCAAGCAGUGACUGGAGAGUCUGGGCCCCAUUUUACACAGCCUGUCUUCCUGGACCACCCCUGGCAUCGUUCGUCAUAGUUUGGGUUCUCUGAGAAACAGGUACCAAGAUUGGAUUAAAUACAGAAGAUAUUUCUCAGGGUGCACACCUGUGGGGGAGAAGGGGAGGGAGAGGAGAGCUGUGGGACUCGAUGGUGCAGGAGAGUGAAGGAGGGUGGGUAGAACAUUCUUAGGCUUUGUGGUGCAGUUCUAAGGACAUUUUGCAGGGCGGAUGUGUUUUUUAAGAGAAACAGUCCACCGUGAGCCCUGAGCAUGCCUGCCCGUUCUCAGUGAGCAUCUUUAAAGCAAAGCUUAUCUGUGUCUCUGGAUACUGCGCCAUUUCUGUAGGGCAAGGUGAUCACAGUGUCACUGCCAUUUAACUGCUCGCUUCCUGAGGGAGGAGCACGAGUUUGUUUGUUCAUUGCUCAAAAAGUCCAGGCACUUGCCUGUGGUUUCCUCAGCAGUGAGACAACCCCCUGCAGGGGCAGCAUCCCUCUGAGCCUGUUGCAUUGCCCCGUGGGACUUGGGGACAGGAGAACUGACAGAACUGAGCUGAUACUCAGGCUGUUUGCCAUGUGGUCAUAAGCUGUCUUGUUCUCCCCCCUGAACGCUCACUGUCUACUUUCUGCAACUGUGAAGUAGUGUCAGGUCUGUUAUCCUUUGUGAGGGUGGGCUUGUCCCCCCACCACCCAACAGCAUUCUUGACCCAAACAAAGCCUAUUAGGGAAGUCCUGUGUCUCGCAGGAAUGACCUGUCUUAAUAUCUCUGCCAUACUCUGUGGUUGGCUGAGAGCAGACCAUUGGAAGUUUGGCCUUGGUGACAGUUAAGUGAUAGUGGGAAAUGCAGUAGCGUUGGAUUUCAGAGCUCAGCAGCUGUGGCCAUCAGUCACUCGUGCUCCCUGCAGUCAGAGAUCUGAGAGGCACAAAUACACCCUGCACUAUGCCCAGCCUGAAACAACCAGCUCACCAUUCGUUUAGUUGAUCUUUGGCAACAGUGAAUGUUUACUUGUUCCUUUCAUGGGUUUACUUCACAGAAGACAGUUGCAACUUGGUGGUGGAAAAAUCCCCAGUGACCUCAAAGCGAAACAGCCACAGUGAAUGAAACGCUCAUUAAGAAUGCUUUUUAGUUCUUGGCAUAUCACUAUUUCUUUCAUGUGGCCUAAUUAACACCCUAGUCUGCGAGUCUCUUUUUGCUUUCUCCAACCUAUUGGAACAUGUAUCUAGUAAGUAGCUGUCUUGGCAGUUUAUGGACUCAUUGAAUCCUAAAUUGGAAAUAAUCCUUAUCUGGCACAGGACCCGUGAACAUGUUUUGAAGCUCUUUGAAAGGAAUAACCUGGUCAUUGUCUAAACGGUACGCUAGUGAAAUGUAAAGUGCUCUGCGCUGUGCUGUUAGGACCAAAGAAUAAAGUAAACAUUUACUAAUGUCUUUUAUCUGAAAAUGUAAACUUAGAAGACAUAAUUUGGGUGUGAUUAUUUGCACUGGAAGGAUUUAACCUACCAUCCUUCCUUCACUAAAUAGGUGGCCCCUGAUUUUUGCAAGUGUUACUGGAAACUGUGUCAUAAAAUCUAUGAUAAGAACAGCUCAUGUUUUUUAGUAGGAAAUAAUUAAUAGUUACAUUUGUGAUAAGCAUUUGGUAUUCUAUAUAAAGUAUGACCAAUAGCAUGUCAUCAAAGAACCUCAUGGUUCCUAGUCAGAUUUGUUUCCACUGUGCCAUGAUGGGAACUCCAGUAUUUUUAAUAAUUCAUCUAGGGGAGUUCCCGUUGUGGCACAGCGGAAACAAGUCCAUGAGAUUGUGGAUUCGAUCCCCGGCCUCCCUCAGUGGGUUAAGGAUCUGGCGUUGCCAUGAGCCUCUGGUAUAGGUUGCAGAUGUGGCUUGUAUCCCGAGUUGCUGUGGCUGUGGUGUAGGCCAGAGCUAUAGCUCCAAUUGGACCCCUAGCCUGGAAACCUCCA
ensembl:lncRNA